rnacentral:rRNA from 1 species
UACAGAGGGUGCGAGCGUUGUCCGGAAUCACUGGGCGUAAAGGGCGCGUAGGUGGCAGGGUAAGCGUGCGGUGAAAGCCCGGAGCUCAACUCCGGGUCGGCCGUGCGAACUGCUUGCUCGAGCACUGUAGAGGCAGGUGGAAUUCCGGGUGUAGCGGUGGAAUGCGUAGAGAUCCGGAAGAACACCGGUGGCGAAGGCGGC